UACGUAGGGUGCAAGCGUUGUCCGGAAUUACUGGGCGUAAAGAGCUCGUAGGCGGUUUGUCGCGUCGUCUGUGAAACCAGCAGCUCAACUGUUGGCUUGCAGGCGAUACGGGCAGACUUGAGUAUUUCAGGGGAGACUGGAAUUCCUGGUGUAGCGGUGAAAUGCGCAGAUAUCAGGAGGAACACCGGUGGCGAAGGCGGGUCUCUGGGAAAUAACUGACGCUGGAGGAGCGAAAGCGUGGUAGCGAACAGG
rnacentral:rRNA from 1 species